rnacentral:lncRNA from 1 species
GUUUAUCAAGCGAUACAUUAAUUUUGAAAGCAAAAACAUGUGAAAUAAAGGAAUAUGAUGAACCAGUGUCAAAUAAAACAUGAGCAAUAUGGUCACAGAUAAUAUACAUACCCUGUACCACAUCCGGCUCGGCGUCGGCAUCCUGCUGGGUAAGGUUGUAAGCUCUGCCCUGGAUAGGAGGCCUUCCUUGAUUCUGGUUUCUCGGGCAUUCUCUUGCAUAAUGUUGGGCACUGCCACAUAUGCAACAGGUGUUGUUGAGGCGGUAGCAUGGUCGGUCCCCGUGAUCUCUGCCGCAGUGCUGACAGAUCUUCCCAUGUGUUGCCCCUGGAGCCUGAGGAGGGGCCUAGAUGGCUGGUCUGGGCCUCUUAUUUAAUUGGGCAGGCGCAAUAGGUGCUGGGCUGCGGAACGGAGCUGAGGGUCGGGAACUCCCCGCUGGCUGAGGACGGGUGUUGAAGCUCUUUUCCACAAUCUGUGCCUUU